rnacentral:misc_RNA from 1 species
GCAAACUUGGUCAUUUAGAGGAAGUAAAAGUCGUAACAAGGUUUCCGUAGGUGAACCUGCGGAAGGAUCAUUACCGAGUACGGGGCGCAAGCCCCCUCUCACACCCUGUGUCGACGUUCCACGUUGCUUCGGCGGGCCGCGGGCCCGCCCGCCCCCCGUCCGCGGGGGCGCGCCCGCCGAAGGAAAUCUCAAACGCAUGGCAAACCGGUCUGUCCGAGGAUACAUGAAUCAGUCAAAACUUUCAACAACGGAUCUCUUGGUUCGGGCAUCGAUGAAGAACGCAGC